GGUCGCUUAGCUCAGUUGGUUAGAGCGUGGUGCUAAUAAGCAAUAUCGCUUGUGACGCCAAGGUCGCGAGUUCGACCCUCGUAGUGACCA
rnacentral:tRNA from 2 species